rnacentral:lncRNA from 1 species
GUCAAAUGUCAAAUGUGUUAUCCAAAGAGUAAAAAAAAACUAAUAGAGUCAAAUACCAUUCAAGUAUUUAUACAAGUGUAUUAUCCUUAACUAAUCCUCACAACUAAUAGUCAUUAGUAUAAACUUGAUAAUAAGUAUAUAUUUGUGUCUUAACACCCCUCAUCAAAUCAUGCUUAUUAUCAUCUUGAUAAUGAAAAGAAGUUGUAUCCUGUUGAGAACUUGCAACGUAAAACCUUGAAAUUUAAGUUCCAAUAUUGAUGAAUUGCAGAAAGACAGGAUUAAAAACCUAGUGGUUGGUUGUUCUGGAAAACCCUCUCUUCAAUUAAUACAUUGAUUCAUUAUUUAAUGAAAAAAAUUUAUCAUUCAAGUUCUGGACUGUGCUUGAGCUAAUCACAAUCUGAAAAAAAACAAGCAUAGUACAAUAUCAAAGAACAAUCGAUAUUAUUUUUCAACAGAAUUAAUCUACAUACUCCGACACUUUUCUUAUUAUCUGAAAUUGAUCAUAAUGCAAAAAUAGACAACUCUUAUAUCAUUCAUUCACAUUAUAUAAAUUCAGAAUUAAAACACAAUUAUGAGACAAAGCAAGAAAAUAAAAAAUAAAGGCAAACAUUCAUAUCGCAUACCAAUCUUAAUAAGAGAAGAAAGAAAAGAAAAAAAAUCACGACUAACACCUAUAAGCUAAAAUUAAUCUUGAAUUUUUUACCUAAUCUUACAUAAAUGUCAGACGUCACAGCUUUGGUAAAUAAAUCAGCCAACUGAAGUGAGGAACAUAUAUAUAUAUAUGUUUUAACUGAAGUUGAUUUUUAGUGAUCAAUUCUCUAACGAAGUGUAUGUCAGUUUCGAUAUGUUUAGACCUUUGUUUUAUUACCGGAUUAUUUGCCAUAAAUAUGGCUGAAAUAUUAUCACAUAAUAUCAAAGGAACAUGAUCUAUCUGAUAACUUAGAUCUCUACAUAUGAAUGUAGACCAUCUGAUCUCAGUAGCUAGUGAAGCCAGAGCUCUAUACUAUGAUUCAACGCUUGAUCUAGAAACUGUAGAUUGUUUCUUUGAUGACCAAGUGCAUAGGUUUCCACCUAUGUAUAGGCACAAUCCAGUUGUGGAUUUCCUCGUGUCUGGAUCACCUGCAUAAUCUGCAUCAUAAUAUCCAUGAAUUUUAUUAAACUUCGAAAUUUUAGUGAAUAUCAAACCAUGGUUCAAAGUUCCUUUGACGUAUCUAAGAAUUCUCUUGGCUGCAAUAAGGUGAGAAGACCUAGGUUCUUGCACAAAUUAUGCAACCUGGUUUAUUGCAUACACCAAGUCUGGUCUCGUUUGAGCUAAGUACUGUAAAGAACCAACUAAUGCCCUGUAAGAUGUUAAAUCUUGCAAGAUUACUCCUUCAUUUUUGGUUAGUUUAGAACCUGGACUAACGGGAGUUGUGCUGGGCUUACACUGUAACAUGUUGUUUUUACUUAAUAUGUCCCGAGCAUAUCUGCGUUGACUCAUGCUAAUUGACCCAUCAAAAUUAUGUUGAACCUCAAUACCAAGAAACAACUUUAAGACCACUAAAUCUCUGCACUUGAACUCAGUGCACAAAUGAGUGAUAAAAGAUUCUACUUCUUCAUUUAUGUUAAGCCUGUCAAUGGAUAUCCGAAAUCCGAAUUCGAAUUCGAUUUCGAAUUCGUUUAGGCCUAAACGAAUUCGGAUAAUCGAAUUCGGAUACGGAUUCGGAUACUGAAAAUACUAUCCGACACUAAUCGAAUUCGAAUUCGGAUACCUCUAAUCGAAUUCGAUAAUUAUCCGAAUUCGAAUAAAUAUUAAAUAUAUAAUAAUUUUAACUUCUCUAAUAUAAUAUUGUAAUAUAAUCUAUAUGUAAAUAUUAAAUAUCUUAGACCAUAUUAGCAAUAAAUAUUAAACAACAAUAAAUCAUUUUCAAAUAAUAAAAAUAUCAAAUCCCUAAUAAACCAUUCUUAUUUUGUUAUUUCAUAUUUCCCAUUCCCCCCUUUCUUAAGAGUAGCUAGGGUUUGCUCAUUCUCAUCUUAGUAACGGGUAAGCUUUCUCAUUUUUCUUUCAUCUUCUUUUCUCAUCUUCCUUUCACGCAUGAGAAUAUCACUCUGAUUUUUUUUUCUCACGCUGAGUAAUAUAUAUGCUUGACUCCAACUCAUUUUGAAUAUAUGUUUUUUUACGAACUAGUGAACUACUAUCUAAAGUUGUGGUUAUUCCCUGGUGAAUCUUUUUGCUGUUAUUUCCAUGUACAUGUACUGGUUUUACAUAUUUUCAUGGUGUUAUUCCUUGGUGAAUCUUUUUGUUUUGGUUUUUAUAUGUUAAAUUGUUAUGUUAUAGGUUUUUUUUAAUAUUACAGUGUUUUUUAAUAUUACAGAGUUUUUUUAACAAAAACAAAUAUUAUUUUUGAGUUUUUUUAUAAAUGUUAUUCGAAUCGAAUUCGGAUAUCCGAAUUCGGAUAUUUUUAAUCGAAUUCGAAUUCGGAUACGGAUUUUGAAAUUCGAAUACUAAUCGGACGAAUUCGGAUUAUCCGGAUACUAAUCGAAUUCGGAUACAGGGGUAUUCGGUUCGAAUUCGUUCGAUUGACAUGGCUAAUUUAUGUUUCCUGUGAUGAUUAAGUCAUCUACAUAAACUACAACCCAGAUUAAUAUCUCAUCUUUGUUAUACACAAAAAGUGACAUGUCUGCACUGCUAUUCAUGAACUCAUUUAGCAUCAAGAAUUCCCUUAGUCUUGAGUACCAAGGUUUAGGUGUCUGUUUAAGACCAUAUAUAGCCUUAUCUAAUUUACAAAUAUAAUCUGAUUUUUCUUUAUCUAUAUAUCCUUGUGGUUGACUGAUAUGAACGGUUUCAAUUAGUUUUUAGUGAAGAAAAGCAUUUUUUACAUCCAGUUGUUUCAACUUAUAUCCUCUAUUUACUGCUAGAGAGAUAACUAUUCUUAUGGUGGACGAUUUUACAACUGGAUUGUAAAUAAGCCCAUAGUCUAUAUCUUUAUGUUAUUUAAAACCUUGUGCUACCGGUCUAGUUUUAUAUCUUUCAAUUGAACCAUCUACUUUCCUUUUAAUUUUAAAAAUCCAUUUAGUUCCUAUCAGAUUAAUAUUUGGGUUAGGAUGAACUAAUGUCCAUGUUUUGUUUUCAAUUAGAGCCUUGAAUUCCUCAUUCAUGGCUUUCUGCUAGUGUGGAAUUUUGAGAGCAUCCUUAAAAUUUUUAGGAGCUAACUGAUUAUCCUCUAUUACCUCAGCAAUCAUUGCUUUUGGAAGAUUUAUCUCAUAGAUAUUAUAUUUUGAAGGAAUCUUUGAUUCUCUUUCAGAUCUCCUUAACUGUGUGUGUUGUUGAAACUCACAAACUGUGUUCAUAGGUAUUGUUUGUUCUAAGGUUUGAACAACAGAAGUUUGAACCUCAUCAUUUUGCGCUAAAGGUUGAGCAGAUAUGUUUAAGUUUUGGCUAGAGUUCCCACUUACUGUUGGAACCACUUCCUUAGUUUCAUUCCUCUGUAAUGGAGAAUUAUCUGUUGAAGUUGUUAGGUCUAAACUUCUAAUUUGAUUACCUGAUAUUUCUAAUCUAUUAUUUCUAAUUUCUUCUAAUAAAUUUGGUAAUACCACAGGUGUAGUACUAAUUGUCUGUGAAAGUGGUAAAUUUGUAAGAAAAUUUGUUUUUAAAGAAAGUGUUUCUAACUUAUAGUCUUUAAAAUGAUAAAUUUCCUCAUAAAAUUUGACAUGCCUAAAAAUAAUAAUUUUGGAGUCCUUAAGUCUCAAACAUUUGUAAGCUUUAUGAGAAGGUGAAUAACCCAAGAAGCAACAAUAGAAAGAGGUGGGUUCAAAUUUAUUCCUCAUUUGUUUAGGUAUAAGAGGAAAACACAAUGACCCAAAAAUUCUAAAAUAGUUAAUAUCUGGCUCUUUAUUGUAUAGAAUGGAAUAAGGCGAGGAAAAAUUUAAAUUCUUUGACGGAAGUCUGUUAAUAGUGUAAACAAACGCAAAACACAUUUCUGACCAAUUGAUCUUAGGUAUUUCUGAUUGAUGAAAAAAACAUCUAGAGACAGAAUAAUAUGACCAUGUUUCCUCUCUACUAACCCAUUUUGUUCAGGUGUGUAAGGAGAGAAAAAUCUAUGUCUAAUUUCAUGUACUUUACAGUAAGAAAGAAAAGAAGAAUUCUGAAAUUCUCCUCCACCAUCAGUUUGAAUAGUUUUUAUUGAAAAAUCUAACAUCAUAACAUGAAAAUCUCUAAAACUCCUGAACAUCUCAUCCUUUGAUUUCAAAGGAUAAAACCAUGAAAACCUAGAAUACUCAUCUAUUAUGAGUAAAUAGUAUUUGUAUCCAUGAGAGGACGUGAUUGGAGCUGAUCCCCAAACAUUCAUAUGAAUAACAUCUAAAGGAGUCUUACUAUAAGUCUUCCUAUUUUUAAAUGGAAGUUUUUUCAUUUUAUUUAACGGGCAAGUAACACAUUUAUUAUUAACAUUAUUAAUGUUAAUCUUAUUAGCUUUUAAAAGUUUAUUUAAAAUUCGGGUUGAUGGAUGCCCACAUCUAUUGUGCCAUAAGAUAUCUAAAUUACUUUUAUUAGUAGUAACAACAAAAACAGUUGAAGAAUUUUGAAAUUUAUUUAAUUGAUACAGUCCAUUAUAUCCAUUUCCAUGCAUCAAUUUAUCACCUGUAAUAUUAUCACGAAUCCUAAAACUAUCACCAUUUAAAACAAAAGUACAAUUUAAAUCCCUAGAAAUAGAUUGAAUAGAUAACAAAUUCAUUUUAAGAUGCGGAACACAUAGAGUAUUUUUUAAAGCAAUAUCACCAUUUUUAGUUUUAAUUAUAGCAGUUCCAAUAUGAUAAAUUUUUAACCCUAAACCAUUUCCUAUAGUUAUUGAUUUGUCACCUGAGUACUCCUGAGCAUCAAAGAGAUUCUCGAUCUCAGGAGUCAUGUGGUUGGACGCUCCAGAAUCCAAUAGUCAGUUGCUUUCAGAACCAUCAACGUUGUCACCAACAGCUGCAAAUGCCUUUACUUUCUUCCUACAUGCAUAUCCGAAUGACCUGGAGUAUCACAUAGUUGACAAACAAUCGAACUGAUGGAGGAAUUGCGCCAUCUGUUUUUCUGACCCCCUUUAGAACCCUUCUUAGCAGCAACAAAAGGCCUAGCAUUUUUGCGUAACUUGUAAUUAGCAGCGAAGGCUGCUGGAACAUCAGAAGAAAUUUGUUGACUUUUUCGAGCAUUGCGUUGACUUACG